rnacentral:rRNA from 2 species
UACAGAGGUGACAAGCGUUGUUCGGAAUUAUUGGGCGUAAAGCGCGUGUAGGCGGUUUGUUAAGUCAGAUGUGAAAGCCCAGGGCUUAACCCUGGAAGUGCAUUUGAAACUGGCGAACUUGAGUACGGGAGAGGGUAGUGGAAUUCCGAGUGUAGAGGUGAAAUUCGUAGAUAUUCGGAGGAACACCGGUGGCGAAGGCGGCUACCUGGACCGAUACUGACGCUGAGACGCGAAAGCGUGGGGAGCAAACAGG